UAGGACGGGACAGGGUGGGACAGGACAGAUAAUGUUAGAUCAUCCUACUGGGGAGAGGAGAGAGAGUCAGGAUUGUUGAAGAGCCUGUGGGGGAAAUGCAGUCUGAAUACAGUGUUGACUUUAAGGUUGAAUAGGUGUUGUCACAAAGGUGGAUUCCCUCAAGGGCUUGAGGUGUGUGUGUCCUGAGGUGUGUGUCCUGAGGUGUGUGUGUGUGUCCUGAGGUGUGUGUGUGUCCUGAGGUGUGUCCUGAGGUGUGUGUUUCCUUGCUGUGUGUCCUGAGGUGUGUGUGUUUCCUUGCUGUGUGUCCUGAGGUGUGUGUGUUUCCUUGCUGUGUGUCCUGAGGUGUGUGUUUCCUUGCUGUGUGUCCUGAGGUGUGUGUGUUUCCUUGCUGUGUGUCCUGAGGUGUGUGUGUUUCCUUGCUGUGUGUCCUGAGGUGUGUGUGUUUCCUUGCUGUGUGUCCUGAGGUGUGUGUGUUUCCUUGCUGUGUGUCCUGAGGUGUGUGUGUUUCCUUGCUGUGUGUCCUGAGGUGUGUGUGUUUCCUUGCUGUGUGUCCUGAGGUGUGUGUGUUUCCUUGCUGUGUGUCCUGAGGUGUGUGUGUUUCCUUGCUGUGUGUCCUGAGGUGUGUGUGUUUCCUUGCUGUGUGUCCUGAGGUGUGUGUGUUUCCUUGCUGUGUGUCCUGAGGUGUGUGUGUUUCCUUGCUGUGUGUCCUGAGGUGUGUGUGUUUCCUUGCUGUGUGUCCUGAGGUGUGUGUGUUUCCUUGCUGUGUGUCCUGAGGUGUGUGUGUUUCCUUGCUGUGUGUCCUGAGGUGUGUGUGUUUCCUUGCUGUGUGUCCUGAGGUGUGUGUGUUUCCUUGCUGUGUGUCCUGAGGUGUGUGUUUCCUUGCUGUGUGUCCUGAGGUGUGUGUGUGUUUCGUAGAGAUACGUGCCUCUCUGUGGGGUUGACUGGCUGUGCUGUUGGCCUUGGGGCAGACAGUUUGGGGCAGACUGUUUGGGGCAGACGGUUUGGGGCAGACUGUUUGGGGCAGACUGUUUGGGGCAGACUGUUUGGGGCAGACUGUUUGGGGCAGACUGUUUGGGGCAGACUGUUUGGGGCAGACUGUUUGGGGCAGACUGUUUGGGGCAGACUGUUUGGGGCAGACUGUUUGGGGCAGACUGUUUGGGGCAGACUGUUUGGGGCAGACUGUUUGGGGCAGACUGUUUGGGGCAGACUGUUUGGGGCAGACUGUUUGGGGCAGACUGUUUGGGGCAGACUGUUUGGGGCAGACUGUUUGGGGCAGACUGUUUGGGGCAGACUGUUUGGG